rfam:Stegodyphus mimosarum contig124968, whole genome shotgun sequence.
GCCUUCGUGGUUUAGUGGUCUGCAUACUCGACGCGUAACCGAGAGGUCCGUGGUUCGAUUCCCGGCGAAGGCG